rnacentral:rRNA from 1 species
GACGAACGCUGGCGGCGUGCUUAACACAUGCAAGUCGAGCGGUAAGGCUCCUUCGGGAGUACACGAGCGGCGAACGGGUGAGUAACACGUGAGCAAUCUGCCCUUCACACGGGGAUAACUUCGGGAAACCGAAGCUAAUACCCGAUACGAUCACCUCAGGCAUCUGAUGGUGGUGGAAAGUUCCGGCGGUGAAGGAUGAGCUCGCGGCCUAUCAGCUUGUUGGUGGGGUAACGGCCCACCAAGGCAACGACGGGUAGCCGGCCUGAGAGGGUGACCGGCCACACUGGGACUGAGACACGGCCCAGACUCCUACGGGAGGCAGCAGUGGGGAAUAUUGGACAAUGGGCGAAAGCCUGAUCCAGCAACGCCGCGUGGGGGAUGACGGCCUUCGGGUUGUAAACCUCUUUCAGCAGGGACGAAGCGCAAGUGACGGUACCUGCAGAAGAAGCACCGGCCAACUACGUGCCAGCCGCCGCCGUAAAAC